rnacentral:rRNA from 1 species
UACCCCACUAUGCCUAGCCGUAAAAAAUUUAUCCACAAUAUCAAGCGCCCGGGUAUUACGAGUGCAAACUUAAAAUCCAAAGGAUUUGACGGUGUCCCACCCACCUAGAGGAGCCUGUUCUAUAAUCGAUAAUCCUCGAUAUACCUCACCAUUUCUUGCUACUCAGUCUGUAUACCUCCGUCGUAAGCUUACCAUUUGAAUGCAAAAAAGUAAGUUUAAUGAUCAUUCAUCAACACGUCAGGUCAAGGUGCAACCAAUGAAACGGGAAGCAAUGGGCUACAAUUUCUACAAUAGAACACACGAAAUGCUACAUGAAAAUUAGUCAUGAAGGCGGAUUUAGUAGUAAAAGAAGAAUAGCGUGCUUCUUUUAACAAGGCUCUGGGACGUGUACAAACCGCCCGUCACCCUCUUCAAUAGCACAUCUUAAUUCAUAAUCCUUAGAAGCACCUUAGAAGAGGCAAGUCGUAACAUGGUAAGUGUACUGGAAAGUGCACUUGGCAAAUCAAAAUGUAGCUUAAAUAAAGCAUUCUCGCUUACACCGAAAAAAUAUCUGUUUAACCCAGAUCAUUUUGAGCCACAAUCUAGCCCAUAAAAACUCAAAUAUUUUUCCCCACUAAAUAAAACUUUAAUAAAACAUUUUAACUUUAUAGUAGAGGUGAUCAAAAAAUUUCUUAGCGCUUCAGAUCAAGUACCGCAAGGGAAAGAUGAAAUAAAAAUGAAAUAAACUUAAGCAU